rnacentral:lncRNA from 1 species
CAGUCGCUGUCUGUUUAAGGUCGGCCUGAGACAGUGUAUAAAAACAGCCUGUGUCACUCUCACCAGCACCUUGUUACUACAGUCAACAUGAGAGUCGUCCUCUUCCUCGUCCUUGCUUCAGUGCUGCUCCUGGGGGCUGUUGAUGCCCAAUCAAGCUGUGGCCGAUUUGACAGAUGUGUGACGAGCAGAGUCUGUGACAUUGAGUGCCCCGGAUGUAACGGAAAAACCGUUUGCCACCACGAGGGACAUUUCAUCGGACACUGCGUUUGUGAAACAUAAUCAGCAGAUACAUGAACUCGGGCGCCAGGCCUGAAAUGUGUUGUUGUAAUAAAACACUUUCACAUGUAAAA